GGGCACAUGGUGUAGUUGGUUAUCACAUCCGCUUAGCAUGUUAGCGUCUGCGGGGGGUGCUGGGUUCAAUUCCCAGUGUGUCCA